CCGGGCCCGGCCCCUGCACACCUUGGGGCGAGGGGAGCCCGAGGCAGCGGCAGUGGAGGGGGGGCGCUCAGGGAGGAGGGCUGGCCAGCACCGUGUCCGGUAGCACCACAGGCUAGCCUGGGGCGGGACGUGGGACAGGCCUGUGCAUGUGUGACCUUGACCAGAGCGGUGUCUGCGCCGGAGCCGGGGGUGGGGGGGACCCAAGAAAUGGAGGCGGGAGGGGCGGGCUGCAGCAAGGAGUGUUUUGAUUUCCGCUUUUAACGUGGCUGCUGGGAGGCUCACCGGGUGUUGGUGGAGCGUGGCGGCCGGGGGUCGAGAGGGGAGCCGAGAAGGGCCGGGGGCGGGAGGGCUGGCCCAGGCAGAGGCCGAGCGGGGGGCUGGGGGUGAUGGGAGGCUGGGCGCUGGGGGGGCCUCGAGGGCACUCGUCCCUCGGUCGUUCUUGCCGCGCCUCGAGGUCUGUUUCUCUUUUGCAGAAUUAAAGCAAGGGCUCGCCCAAGACUUGAUUUCUUCCCCCAAAUUAGACAGAUACAAACUAGCAAGACAGUUGACGGACAAGGCAGUCAAGCGUGUAGAAAGGUCGAUGCUGAGUGCUGUAUUCCUGGCCACCAGGGCCGAGUUUGCCAUUGGAGUUGUGCAAAUCUAGCCUUACUGAAGUUUUUGUCUCUGUGUUUUUCAGUUUACCGAGAGAAGCAUGGUAAGUAUCCUGUUGUUACUGUGGAUUUGUCUACUUCGUAUUUCUGCUAAUUUUUGCUUUAUGUAAUUCACAGAGCUCUUAAAGGGCGCGUGCAAAUGUGUCUGUCUGGUGAAUUGAAUGUUUUCUGUAACUUAUGGGAUGAUAUUCUUGGCUUCAGCGAGGUUUAUUUGUCUCAGAGGCCAUUCUGUCUCAUAUUUAGAGCCUUUUAUUUCUGCCCUAUCUGGAGGCUCGAGGUUUUGAGCUUCUCCUGUAAACAACAUAGCUUUAGAUAAAAAAGCCAGAGCCUGGCACCCUUUAUCUGUUAACUGGAGCAUUUAGUGUGUGUGUCUGUGACUAAACUCCUGACAUCGUCCUGUCCCGUUUCCUUCACUUAGUUUGUCCUGUGUGCUCAGUUUUCCUCUCCUUCCAGGCUUCCUUGUGGGCCGGUUCCUUUUUAAACUCCAUUCUCUCCCUCAGGUGAGACGUCUUGUGCUCUUUUUUGUCCUUUUGUGGUUUCCUUAUGGGUUGUACUCUGCUGAUGUAUUGAAGUUAAUGAAGUCUCUUGAGGUUGUUCCGUUUGAGUCCAGUUAGGCAGAGGCUCGGGGGUGGCUGGGAGGUCUUGCUGGAGCUUCAGGAGCUGACUCCUUGCAGUUGGCACAUGCCCCACCUGCCCCUCCUCGCAGGGGCCCCUGCCCUGGACAAGCCCGUCCACAUGCCUCUGUUGAGGUGCACGGCCCGGCGGGGAGUCAGGGCAGGCUCAGGACCCAUGUUCUGAGUUGGAGGCUCAGAGGUCUUUUGUGUGAGUGCUGGACUUGCACCCUUGGUGACUAGCCACACGCUCACACGUUCUUGUUGUUGUUGUUGUUGUUGUUGCUUUUUAGGGCCACAGCCUCGGCAUGUGGAAGUUCCCAGGCUAGGGGUCCAAUCGGAGCUGCAGUUGCCACCGCAGCCGCAGCUCACGGCAGCACCAGAUCCUUAACCCAUUGAGCAAGGUCAGGGAUCGAACCCUCAUCCUCAUGGAUUCUGGUCAGAUUUGUUUCCACUGCACCACCACAGGACCUCCAAGCUCACACGUUCUUGGUGUGUGUACCUGGUCCGCUGGGACCCGCGUUCACUGCCGGUGCUGCGUAACAAAUCACUGGUAGCUAACUAAGAGUGAUUUGUUAGCUGCUAACACACCGUUUGUUAUCUCACUGUUCCCGUGGGUCAGGGGUCCAGGCUGGGUCCUCUGCUCAGCACCGCGGGGUUGACAUGAAGCAUGAUCCCAGAGGGGUCCCAUCUGGAGGCUCGACGGGGUAGGACCCACCUCCAAGCUCUCUCCACUUGGGCAGUUAAUUUUCUUGUGGCAGCUUCUUCAAAGCCAGCAGUGGAGACCAUUUCUGCGUUUUCAAUCUCUCUUUAGAGAAUCCUGCCCUCUUUUAAGGGGUGCCCCUGAUUGGGUCAGGCCCACUCAGGAUACUCUGUCCCUUAAAUUCAGUGUCUAAUUAGGGACCCAGUGAGGCUGAGCCACCCCUCCCCCCUGCCCUGACCUCCGCUCCUGCUCGCACCAACUCACGAGGCUCUAGGCUCACCGCUGACCACGCACCUGUUCCCUGACCCUGCAUGGCAGCGGCCACCCACCCAGCAAAUGUGUCCAGGCUGCGUCCUCAGCAGCAUGGGCCCCCGGGCUCCAGCAUGACUCUGCGCUCCUGCCCCGGCCCCUCACUGGGAAGGGAGGGGACACCAGCUGCCCUCGUCCCACCUGUCCCCGGGGGG
ensembl:lncRNA